rnacentral:rRNA from 1 species
GAUGAACGCUGGCGGCGUGCCUAAUACAUGCAAGUCGAGCGAACAGACGAGGAGCUUGCUCCUCUGACGUUAGCGGCGGACGGGUGAGUAACACGUGGAUAACCUACCUAUAAGACUGGGAUAACUUCGGGAAACCGGAGCUAAUACCGGAUAAUAUAUUGAACCGCAUGGUUCAAUAGUGAAAGACGGUUUUGCUGUCACUUAUAGAUGGAUCCGCGCCGCAUUAGCUAGUUGGUAAGGUAACGGCUUACCAAGGCAACGAUGCGUAGCCGACCUGAGAGGGUGAUCGGCCACACUGGAACUGAGACACGGUCCAGACUCCUACGGGAGGCAGCAGUAGGGAAUCUUCCCAAAGGGCGAAAGCCUGACGGAGCAACGCCGCGUGAGUGAUGAAGGUCUUCGGAUCGUAAAACUCUGUUAUUAGGGAAGAACAAAUGUGUAAGUAACUAUGCACGUCUUGACGGUACCUAAUCAGAAAGCCACGGCUAACUACGUG